rnacentral:rRNA from 1 species
UGGGGAAUUUUGGACAAUGGGGGCAACCCUGAUCCAGCAAUGCCGCGUGAGUGAAGAAGGCCUUCGGGUUGUAAAGCUCUUUUGUCAGGGAAGAAACGGUAGUAGCGAAUAACUACUACUAAUGACGGUACCUGAAGAAUAAGCACCGGCUAACUACGUGCCAGCAGCCGCGGUAAUACGUAGGGUGCAAGCGUUAAUCGGAAUUACUGGGCGUAAAGCGUGCGCAGGCGGUUGUGUAAGUCAGAUGUGAAAUCCCCGGGCUCAACCUGGGAAUUGCAUUUGAGACUGCACGGCUAGAGUGUGUCAGAGGGGGGUAGAAUUCCGCGUGUAGCAGUGAA